UUGAUUGGUGCUUGCAUCAUGAUUUACAUUUGAGUGAGUGGCGAACUGGUGAGUAACACGUGGGAAACCUGCCCAGAAGCGGGGGAUAACACCUGGAAACAGAUGCUAAUACCGCAUAACAACUUGGACCGCAUGGUCCGAGCUUGAAAGAUGGCUUCGGCUAUCACUUUUGGAUGGUCCCGCGGCGUAUUAGCUAGAUGGUGGGGUAACGGCUCACCAUGGCAAUGAUACGUAGCCGACCUGAGAGGGUAAUCGGCCACAUUGGGACUGAGACACGGCCCAAACUCCUACGGGAGGCAGCAGUAGGGAAUCUUCCACAAUGGACGAAAGUCUGAUGGAGCAACGCCGCGUGAGUGAAGAAGGGUUUCGGCUCGUAAAACUCUGUUGUUAAAGAAGAACAUAUCUGAGAGUAACUGUUCAGGUAUUGACGGUAUUUAACCAGAAAGCCACGGCUAACUACGUGCCAGCAGCCGCGGUAAUACGUAGGUGGCAAGCGUUGUCCGGGAUUUAUUGGGCGUAAAGCGAGCGCAGGCGGUUUUUUAAGUCUGAUGUGAAAGCCUUUCGGCUCAACCGAAGAAGUGCAUCGGAAACUGGGAAACUUGAGUGCAGAAGAGGACAGUGGAACUCCAUGUGUAGCGGUGAAAUGCGUAGAUAUAUGGAAGAACACCAGUGGCGAAGGCGGCUGUCUGGUCUGUAACUGACGCUGAGGCUCGAAAGUAUGGGUAGCAAACAGGAUUAGAUACCCUGGUAGUCCAUACCGUAAACGAUGAAUGCUAAGUGUUGGAGGGUUUCCGCCCUUCAGUGCUGCAGCUAACGCAUUAAGCAUUCCGCCUGGGGAGUACGGCCGCAAGGCUGAAACUCAAAGGAAUUGACGGGGGCCCGCACAAGCGGUGGAGCAUGUGGUUUAAUUCGAAGCUACGCGAAGAACCUUACCAGGUCUUGACAUACUAUGCAAAUCUAAGAGAUUAGACGUUCCCUUCGGGGACAUGGAUACAGGUGGUGCAUGGUUGUCGUCAGCUCGUGUCGUGAGAUGUUGGGUUAAGUCCCGCAACGAGCGCAACCCUUAUUAUCAGUUGCCAGCAUUAAGUUGGGCACUCUGGUGAGACUGCCGGUGACAAACCGGAGGAAGGUGGGGAUGACGUCAAAUCAUCAUGCCCCUUAUGACCUGGGCUACACACGUGCUACAAUGGAUGGUACAACGAGUUGCGAACUCGCGAGAGUAAGCUAAUCUCUUAAAGCCAUUCUCAGUUCGGAUUGUAGGCUGCAACUCGCCUACAUGAAGUCGGAAUCGCUAGUAAUCGCGGAUCAGCAUGCCGCGGUGAAUACGUUCCCGGGCCUUGUACACACCGCCCGUCACACCAUGAG
rnacentral:rRNA from 2 species